ensembl:lncRNA
CUUUUAUAUUUAAGUCUAUAAUGUUUAUGGCAUUUUAUGUGAUAUAAAAAUAGGUAUCCAAGUUAAUUUCAUAUAGUAAUCUAGUUAUACUGAUACCAUUUAUUGGUUCAUGUUUUCUCUGCUACUUUACCCUGUAUCAAGUAGCCCUAUGAAGAGAUGACAUGAGAGGUCUAAAGCUUCUUGCCAACAGUCAUGUAGAGUCUUUGCCACUGAGCUAACCAGGGAAGCCUCCACUGUGCAGCCCUCCAGUGACCACAUUGUGGAACCUCUACUAAGAAGAGAAAGAAUGAGUAGUUGACUAAACCUAUCUCUUUAAGGACACACAUCUCUUUAAGUCAAUGACUAUUCAGAAAUGAAAUCCAUUCAUUCUGACUUAUGCAAGCUACAUCUCAAAAAUUCAGAAUAAAUGUAUUACAGCAAUUAUAAGACCUGUAAUCAGUAAUUUACUCUAGAGUAAUCAUUCUAAAUCUUACACUGUGUAUGUCCUGAUAUGUCCUAAUGCUUCUAUCUGCAUCCAAACUACAUCAGAACCAAACAGUUCAUUCCUG